rnacentral:rRNA from 1 species
AGCGUAGGCGGAUGAUUAAGUGGGAUGUGAAAGCCCGGAGCUCAAUUCCGGAAUGGCAUUGGAAACUGGUUAACUUGAGUGCAGUAGAGGUAAGUGGAACUCCAUGUGUAGCGGUGAAAUGCGUAGAUAUUAGGAGGAACACCAGUGGCGAAGGCGGCCUGCUGGACUGUUACUGACACUGAGGCACGAAAGCGUGGGAGCAAACA